rnacentral:rRNA from 1 species
AUUGAACGCUGGCGGCAUGCUUUACACAUGCAAGUCGAACGGCAGCGCGGGCUUCGGCCUGGCGGCGAGUGGCGACCGGGUGAGUAAUGCAUCGGAACGUGCCCAGUAGUGGGGGAUAGCCCGGCGAAAGCCGGAUUAAUACCGCAUACGACCUGAGGGUGAAAGCGGGGGACCGAAAGGCCUCGCGCUAUUGGAGCGGCCGAUGUCGGAUUAGCUAGUUGGUGGGGUAAAGGCUUACCAAGGCGACGAUCCGUAGCUGGUCUGAGAGGACGACCAGCCACACUGGGACUGAGACACGGCCCAGACUCCUACGGGAGGCAGCAGUGGGGAAUUUUGGACAAUGGGGGCAACCCUGAUCCAGCCAUGCCGCGUGCGGGAAGAAGGCCUUCGGGUUGUAAACCGCUUUUGUUCGGGAAGAAAUCCUCUGGGCUAAUACCCCGGGGGGAUGACGGUACCGGAAGAAUAAGCACCGGCUAACUACGUG